GGGCGCUUAGCUCAGUUGGUUAGAGCACUAGCUCGACAAGCUAGGGGUCGCUGGUUCGAGUCCAGUAGCGCCCA
rnacentral:tRNA from 1 species